rnacentral:misc_RNA from 1 species
UUAUGAUUUUGUUAUUUACCACGUUGAAGUAAUGGAAUCCACAAUCUUGAAUUUCUGUAAAUGAAAGAAAGCAGUAGUUUUUAUUUAGAUGAUUAUGAUGCGCCUUUUAUAAAAGCUUCCAUGACCAGAAGUUGUUGCUAUACUGAUUCUCUGUUUUCUUCAUUUUAUCGGGAUUUUUUUUGGGAACGUGGACAUGUUUAAUCAUGGGCUGGAGCAAAUGUUAAUAUUCUGAUUAUUGUCAGAUGCUGGUGCCUGGUUUCUGACAUUACCAUCCAGUAAUCUGCCGUUAGCUGCUGUAGCCUUUAAAGUUCAUGUUGCUUAAUAUAAGAAGAACCCACUUCUUCAUUUUCUAAGUGAAUAAUAUAAUUUUAUACGGAAAUGUAAAAAUGAUAGAAGCACCUAAUUUACUUUUCUGAGAGAAUCUUUACUCUCCCUGUGACUGAAAAUUUUGACAGGAUAUAUUCUAAUUCUAUUUAGUAAACUUAUUUAUCCUAUUCCAUGAAUUUAUAGGAUGGGAUGAAGGUGUCUUGG